AACCUUGUUGCUAGGGACCGGGCGGUUUGCGGCAACCGUGGGCACUGCUGAAUUUGAAUUGAGGGGCGAGGGAAAAGUUUUCCUCAGGUGUGGUGGGGAGAGGGAGGCGGAUGCCGGGAAACCGUAGGGACGCGGUCAGAAAGGCGACGGGCUGUCGGAGUUGGAAAGGUAAAGUUGGAGGCUCGGCGGCGUCCUGCCUCCGCGCUGGCCACACCCGCCGCGGCUGCCCGGGGCAGGGAGGGAUCUGGCUGAUUCUCCCUGUACCCUGUGCCCUCGGAGCUGCCCCUCCGAGCGCCCAGAGGUCCCCGCCUGCCUGCUUCCUGGAGGCAGGGCUACCAUCAGUCCCACGCCUCGCGUGUCCGCCCCCCGCACCCCGGGGCCAAGGAAAGGGAUCGCGGUCUGGACUCCCCGGGGAGUUCCCUUGAUGAGGGGAAGGGCAGGUUUGGGGACGGCGAGGACACGCGGCGACCGGAGAGAGGCUACCUGACCCGCGCAGCCCGGACUCCCUUCCCUUCCCUUCCAGGGACGCCUGGUUUCCCCCCAAGCGAACCGGGAUGGGAAGUGACUUCAAUGAGAUUGAACUUCAGCUGGAUUGAAAGAGAGGCUAGAAGUUCCGCUUGCCAGCAGCCUCCUUAGUAGAGCGGAAUGAGUAAUACCCACACGGUGCUUGUCUCACUUCCCCAUCCGCACCCGGCCCUCACCUGCUGUCACCUCGGCCUCCCACACCCGGUCCGCGCUCCCCGCCCUCUUCCUCGCGUAGAACCGUGGGAUCCUAGGUGGCAGGACUCAGAGCUAAGGUAUCCACAGGCCAUGAAUUCCUUCCUAAAUGAGCGGUCAUCGCCGUGCAGGACCUUAAGGCAAGAAGCAUCGGCUGACAGAUGUGAUCUCUGAACCUGAUAGAUUGCUGAUUUUAUCUUAUUUUAUCCUUGACUUGGUACAAGUUUUGGGAUUUCUGAAAAGACCAUACAGAUAACCACAAAUAUCAAGAAAGUCGUCUUCAGUAUUAAGUAGAAUUUAGAUUUAGGUUUCCUUCCUGCUUCCCACCUCCUUCGAAUAAGGAAACGUCUUUGGGACCAACUUUAUGGAAUAAAUAAGCUGAGCUGUAUUUCAAGUAAUAUAGUUAUAAAUUAACAAUGUAGCAGUUAUUGAUAGAGAAAUUGAGAAAACUGAAACGUGACCGGAGUAUUGGAAAUAACGUAGUACAUCACCUAGCACAAUGACACAUAGUAGGUGCUCAAUAAAUUUAUGCUUAUAAUUUUUGUCACUUCUAUGGCAGGAUUUUUUUAUUAGGUUAAAAUUAUCUUUUAAACACCUUCCGGAAUUUUAGAAUAUUCAUUAAUAAUGUCUUCAAACCUUUCAACUGAAAUAAAUUUACAGCUGAAGUCUGAUGAUUUAAAGUUAGAAAGUUUAAUCUUGAAUAUAAAUGAACAUUUUCUCUCCCACAUUUUCUUGGGCAUUUUGAGAAGUAAAUGCGUUAUUUAUUGGUCCAUGAAAUGUGACUGUAAAUAUUCUUUGCUAUACAUUAUGUCUAUAUAUCUGCAUUCAUCCUCAAUGCCAAAACUAGAAUCAUUAGUCUUAAUGAUCAUUUUAAGUACAGGCAGUCCUCGCUUUCCUUGAUACCAUGUUAACCGAAACUUGUGUAUGUCAACACGGUGUCCUUGCUUUGCUUGGUUAAGUGUGAGUUCUUCCUCCCUUUUUUUAAGAGUUGUACAAUGUUUUUCAGUCGCCUACCGAAUCAGGUCAUAGACUAUGGAAUUGACCCCACCCCACCAACAUUUUUACAGCUACCCUGAUUUCUGACCAGAAAGGAAAAAAAAACUUUCCAGCUCUAUCACACAUUUUACCUACUCUUAAACUUAGGAGGUAUUACAAAUAGCAUUUUCUCAUGUUCUCUUUCUGGCCUGUACCUCCCUGCUAAGCUUCCUUCAGUGUUCAUCCUCACCUCAUAGAGAGAUGAAGUGAAGAGACAAACAGAAGUCAUUUUCUUCCUUACUUUAGUGGUUUCUGGUUUAGUUAGUUUGGGCCAAACUGUGGACAAGUACCUUUUCAGGUAACUUUUUUUUCUUAUUUCUAUGUCCUCAACACCUAGUGGAGUACGUAGCCAAUAGUAGAUGCUUAAUAAACAUUUCUUAAAUUAAUAUUGUUGACCUUUUCUGACCCUGUUCUUGACAGUAAGGUACAUAAUCUGCCUUCAUCCCUUUAGUCCUUAGGAACAGAUAAAGUCAUGGAUAUGAAAGUGAUCACUGUCAUUAAUAUCCACAUUAAAAUUGCUCUUGAUUUUAGUUUCUCCAUAAUCAUUUUCCCUAAACAAUGAACUCUGUUCACCUUUUUUUUUAAAAUAUGCACAGUGAAUAUUACUGGUAGCCCAAAUCUUCUAACAUAAAAUUUCCAUUUUGUAAAAGCUUCUGAUAAGCAUAUAUGUUAUGAAUUGAAUGUUUGAUUAUUAUACUUUAAUAUUCUUGAAAAUAUUGAUACCUGGACUGGAAAGAAAACAGACAAAAGUAAAUCUCAGAAUAAAUUACUGCUUUAAACAUGA
rnacentral:lncRNA from 1 species